GAGUCAACACACCUGCAGCUCU
rnacentral:siRNA from 1 species